GACGAACGCUGGCGGCGUGCCUAAUACAUGCAAGUCGAACGAGUGGCGGCCGGGUGAGUAAUGUCUGGGAAACUGCCUGACGGAGGGGGAUAACUACUGGAAACGGUAGCUAAUACCGCAUACCAUCGGAUGUGCCCAGAUGGGAUUAGCUAGGAGGUGGGGGAAAGUCUCACAUAGGCGACGAUCCCUAGCUGGUCUGGGAGGAUGACCCGCCACACGCGGACUGAGACACGGUCCAGACUCCUACGGGAGGCAGCAGUGGGGAAUAUUGCACAAUGGGCGCAAUGCUGAGGCAGCCAUGCCGCGUGUAGGAAGAAGGCCUUCGGGUUGGAAAGUACUUUCAGCGGGGGGGCGUUACCCGCAGAAAAAGCACCGGCUAACUCCGUGCCAGCAGCCGCGGUAAUAC
rnacentral:rRNA from 1 species